UACGGAGGGUGCAAGCGUUGUUCGGAAUUACUGGGCGUAAAGCGCGCGUAGGCGGCUUUUUAUGUCAGGUGUGAAAGCCCUCGGCCUAACCGAGGAAGUGCGCCUGAAACUGAAAGGCUUGAGUACGAGAGAGGAGGACGGAAUUCCUAGUGUAGAGGUGAAAUUCGUAGAUAUUAGGAAGAACACCGGUAGCGAAAGCGGUUCUCUGGAUCGAUACUGACGCUAAGGCGCGAAAGCGUGGGGAGCAAAC
rnacentral:rRNA from 1 species